GACGAACGCUGGCGGCGUGCUUAACACAUGCAAGUCGAACGGAAAGGCCCUGCUUUUGUGGGGUGCUCGAGUGGCGAACGGGUGAGUAACACGUGAGUAACCUGCCCUUGACUUUGGGAUAACUUCAGGAAACUGGGGCUAAUACCGGAUAGGAGCUCCUGCUGCAUGGUGGGGGUUGGAAAGUUUCGGCGGUUGGGGAUGGACUCGCGGCUUAUCAGCUUGUUGGUGGGGUAGUGGCUUACCAAGGCUUUGACGGGUCGCCGGCCUGAGAGGGUGACCGGCCACAUUGGGACUGAGAGACGGCCCAGACUCCUACGGGAGGCAGCAGUGGAGAAUAUUGCACAAUGGGCGGAAGCCUGAUGCAGCAACGCCGCGUGCGGGAUGACGGCCUUCGGGUUGUAAACCGCUUUCGCCUGUGACGAAGCGUGAGUGACGGUAAUGGGUAAAGAAGCACCGGCUAACUACGUG
rnacentral:rRNA from 1 species